AUCCAGUUGACGAGUCCCAAAUAGGAUGAAACGUGCGUCCUGAAU
rnacentral:hammerhead_ribozyme from 1 species